rnacentral:lncRNA from 1 species
CACCAAGAGAUUAGUUUAGGUAAGAAUGAUGAUCUACUAGCUGAUUUGAUAAAAGAAUUGAUUAUUAUUUUGAUAGGAUCAGAGAUUUGUGUAUCACCUAUUGAGAGUUAGAAAGAGAAAGUUAGACAAAGAUAAAGAGAAAGAGGAGUAAGGAUCAGAGUAGCGCAGCGAAAGCUGUGGAAUUCAAGAAUAGGUUGAGGUCUUGAUGGUUUCUUUGUUGUUUUUAACAUUCGAGGACGAAUGUUUUUGUAAGGGGGGUAGAUUGUA